UGGGGAAUAUUGGACAAUGGGGGCAACCCUGAUCCAGCAAUGCCGCGUGUGUGAAGAAGGCCUUCGGGUUGUAAAGCACUUUUAUCAGGAGCGAAACGCUGUCGGUUAAUAACCGGCGGAACUGACGGUACCUGAGGAAUAAGCACCGGCUAACUUCGUGCCAGCAGCCGCGGUAAUACGAAGGGUGCAAGCGUUACUCGGAAUUACUGGGCGUAAAGCGUGCGUAGGUGGUUUCUUAAGUCUGCUGUGAAAGCCCCGGGCUCAACCUGGGAAUUGCAGUGGAUACUGGGGAGCUAGAGUGCGGUAGAGGGUAGUGGAAUUCCCGGUGUAGCGGUGAAAUGCGUAGAGAUCGGGAGGAACACCAGUGGCGAAGGCGGCUACCUGGACCAGCACUGACACUGAGGCACGAAAGCGUGGGGAGCAAACAGGAUUAGAUACCCCGGUAGUCC
rnacentral:rRNA from 1 species